GGGAAUUUUCCGCAAUGGGUGAAAGCCUGACGGAGCAAUGCCGCGUGGAGGUGGAAGGCCUACGGGUCGUCAACUUCUUUUCUCGGAGAAGAAACAAUGACGGUAUCUGAGGAAUAAGCAUCGGCUAACUCUGUGCCAG
rnacentral:rRNA from 1 species